CCACCUAUGAGGAUGGGCUUAUAUAAGGGGCUUUCCCUUUCAAUAAGAGAUCAUCGAUGCAUAUUUUGAUGAAUUCCAGUUUCCUUCUCUCUGUUCAUACUCUCCCUCUCAUUUCUCUCCCUCUCGCUCUCUCUCUCUUAAACUCAACCCUAAUUCUCCUCACACGAGGAGAAUUACCCCUUUUCAGGCCAAGACCCUGACAAUUCUUUUUCGGUUAUUGCUUAGAAACCAAGGGAUUUCAUGCAUCACAACCACCAGAAGGCCAAAAUACAACGGUUGUAACAUGCAGUGGACAGAAUGGAUAAUUUCUUUCUUCUAUGGUUCCUUAAGGCUGUUCAUCGAGCACAAAGCCAAGGGAAAACACACAAGAAACGCUAGUGAGAAGCAGCUCAGAUCAUCAAGAAAUGAUUGUUCCAGGUGCCACAGGUCACAUUCCCACUGGUCGUAACAUCUAGACAGAAAGGCACAAAAUAAUAGAAGACAAGACAUAUGAACUAUGCAGGUAACCUUACUUUCCUUUACGAAGAGCAUACCACAAUCAGAAACUACAGAUACCUAGCUAGAUGAUUGCAUUCAAAUAUUGCAGCUGCCUGAGUAGAUUAAUGGGGCAAUUGUCAAAAGGAAAUCAGAAAAAUGCAGGGGGUUAUGAAGUAAAUAUGGCUUAAACCUGGGCAUAAUACAAAAAAAAAUAACAUUGAAAUGAGGAUGCUGUUAGUCCAUGACAUGUUGCAGGGAUUCUUUUUCAUCAUGUUGACAUGAGAAGAUUCAAGAGGAAGGAAAGCAGCCAAGAAAGGAAAGCAGCAAUCAAUGAUUGCUUCAAAGAGAAAGGAAAGCAGCAAUCAAUGAUUGCUUCAAAGAGAAAGGAAAGCAGCCAUCCGUGACUGCUUCAGAAUGCUAAAGUUUUUUAGAAAGUUUUUAAAUCUUGUUUGGAUAGUUUCCUAAUUUCAAAUUAGGAUACUUUCCUAAUGUGUUGUAUUGUAAUCUUUCCUUAUUGUAAUUUUU